GACGAACGCUGGCGGCGUGCUUAACACAUGCAAGUCGAACGCUGAAGCUUGGUGCUUGCACUGGGUGGAUAAGUGGCGAACGGGUGAGUAAUACGUGAGUAACCUGCCCUUGACUCUGGGAUAAGCCUGGGAAACUGGGUCUAAUACUGGAUAUGACAUGCCACUGCAUGGUGGUGUGUGGAAAGGGUUUUACUGGUUUUGGAUGGGCUCACGGCCUAUCAGCUUGUUGGUGGGGUAAUGGCCUACCAAGGCGACGACGGGUAGCCGGCCUGAGAGGGUGACCGGCCACACUGGGACUGAGACACGGCCCAGACUCCUACGGGAGGCAGCAGUGGGGAAUAUUGCACAAUGGGCGGAAGCCUGAUGCAGCGACGCCGCGUGAGGGAUGACGGCCUUCGGGUUGUAAACCUCUUUCAGCACGGAAGAAGCGAGAGUGACGGUACGUGCAGAAGAAGCGCCGGCUAACUACGUG
rnacentral:rRNA from 1 species